GACGAACGCUGGCGGCGUGCUUAACACAUGCAAGUCGAACGGAAAGGCUCCAGCUUGCUGGAGUACUCGAGUGGCGAACGGGUGAGUAACACGUGGGUAAUCUGCCCUGCACUCUGGGAUAAGCCUGGGAAACUGGGUCUAAUACUGGAUAUGACCUUUCUCCUUAUGGGGUUUGGUGGAAAGUUUUUCGGUGUAGGAUGAGCCCGCGGCCUAUCAGCUUGUUGGUGGGGUGAUGGCCUACCAAGGCGACGACGGGUAGCCGGCCUGAGAGGGUGAUCGGCCACAUUGGGACUGAGAUACGGCCCAGACCCCUACGGGAGGCAGCAGUGGGGAAUAUUGCACAAUGGGCGGAAGCCUGAUGCAGCGACGCCGCGUGAGGGAUGACGGCCUUCGGGUUGUAAACCUCUUUCAGCAGGGACGAAGCGUAAGUGACGGUACCUGCAGAAGAAGCACCGGCUAACUAUGUG
rnacentral:rRNA from 1 species